GAAUGUGAGGUCAUCCACUGUAAUAGUGGCUGUCUCCACUCUCUCCCAUAUCUACAGUUACUACCACUUUCUCUCUUUUCAACCUUGAAAAGUUGCCAACUGGCUCGUAAAUCCGCCACGUUUCUCUUCUUCUUUAGGCGUUUUCCUUUGACGUGGCAACCAUUGGCCACCUCUUCUCCUAAAUAAGUACCCCCUUGUGUCUACUCUCUCUGCUCUCUAUCUUCAUUCGCAUGUUCGCUCUUCUAAUUCCCUCUUCUUUCAGACAUAAAAUCAAACACUUACAGCACCUCAUUUCCCAUCGCCCCCUUUUUGUCUCCGACCACAGGAAGCAAGUGAAAUAAUGCCAAUGCUUGAUGCUGUAGAAUCCUCCACCAAUGGAGACUCAUUGGACGGCCCAGAUCAAUCCACUGAUUCUCCUCCAGAUGCGCGUGAUCUCCCAUCUUUAAUGUUGUCUUCUUGUUAUCCCAUUACUCUGAGGUUCUUCGACGUGUGUUAUAGGAUGAAAAUUGAGAAGAGGCACAAAGGAGGAGGCAGUAGCAAUAUCAGACGGAUUUUAGGUCAUGGACCCACUCAAUCGAAUCAAACACCAACGGCUAUGGUUCAAGAACGUAUGAUUUUGAAUGGGAUCACUGGCAUGGUUUCACCUGGAGAAAUCCUGGCCAUUCUUGGUCCUUCUGGGAGCGGCAAGUCAACGCUCCUCAAUGCGCUUGCAGGUAGACUCCAAGGACCUGGCUUCACUGGAACUAUACUCGCCAACAACAAAAAGCCGUGCAAACAAACAUUGAAACGCACCGGUUUUGUUACUCAGGACGAUGUCCUCUACCCUCACCUCAGCGUCCGCGAAACCCUAAUUUUCUGCUCUUUACUUCGCUUGCCAAAAUCUCUGUCCAAGAAAGAGAAGACUUCUGUGGUUGAGUCGGUGAUAUCCGAGCUGGGUUUAAAGAAAUGCGAGAACACAAUCAUUGGCAACAGUUUUAUACGUGGGGUCUCCGGUGGGGAAAGAAAGAGAGUGAAUAUAGCUCAUGAGAUGCUCAUAAACCCUAGUUUGCUCAUUCUUGAUGAACCCACGUCCGGUUUGGACUCCACUGCAGCGCACAGGCUGGUCUUGACGUUGGGUUCGCUGGCGCAGAAGGGAAAGACCAUUGUUACUUCCAUGCAUCAACCUUCUAGCCGAGUUUACCAGAUGUUUAACUCAGUGUUGGUGUUGAGCGAGGGAAGGUGUUUGUAUUUUGGCAAAGGAAGUGAGGCCAUGGCUUAUUUUGAGUCGGUUGGGUUCUCGCUGUCUUUCCCCAUGAAUCCCGCUGAUUUUCUCCUUGAUCUCGCUAAUGGUGUUUGCCAAAUUGAUGGUGUAAGCGAAAGAGAUAAGCUGAACAUAAAGCAAUCUCUAAUUGCCUCUUACAACAGUGUGUUAGCCCCAAAGGUAAAAGCUGCCUGCAUGGAGACCACCAUUACUUCAACAAAAGGGACAAGCUUAUUUGGAAGCCAUUCUUCCAAAGGAAGUAGAUGCUGCAACAGAAUUGGCUUUGCCACAUGGUUCAACCAAUUCACCAUUCUUCUUCAAAGAAGCCUCAAAGAAAGAAAGCAUGAAUCAUUCAAUACUCUUAGAGUCUUCCAAGUAAUCACAGCUGCAUUAUUAGCUGGUCUAAUGUGGUGGCACUCAGAUUUUCGUGACAUUCAGGAUCGAUUAGGUCUCCUCUUUUUCAUGUCAAUCUUCUGGGGAGUCUUCCCUUCUUUUAACUCUGUGUUCGCCUUCCCACAAGAUAGAGCUAUCUUCAUGAAGGAAAGAGCCUCGGGUAUGUACACUCUUUCUUCUUAUUUCAUGUCACGAAUAGUCGGAGACUUGCCAAUGGAGCUCAUUCUCCCCACGAUUUUUCUUGCCAUGGCUUAUUGGAUGGCUGGAUUAAAACCUGAAUUGGUUGCUUUUCUCUUGACUCUACUGGUUCUGCUCGGCUACGUGCUCGUCUCUCAGGGGCUUGGCCUUGCCUUAGGAGCCGCUAUAAUGGAUGCUAAGCAAGCUUCUACUAUAGUAACAGUAACAAUGCUAGCAUUUGUUUUAACAGGAGGAUUUUAUGUGCAUAAGGUACCAUCUUGUAUGGCUUGGAUCAAGUACAUUUCAACUACAUAUUACAGCUAUAGGCUACUUAUUAGUGUCCAGUAUGGUGAAGGGAAGCAAAUUUCAUCAAUUUUGGGUUGCUCCUACCAUGGAAUUAGUGACAAAGCAAGCUGCAAAUUCCUGGAAGAAGAUGUUAGAGGACAGAUUAGUCCUGGAAUUUCUGUUAGUGUCCUAAUAUUGAUGUUUGUGGGGUAUAGAUUAUUGGCUUACCUCGCAUUGAGGAGGAUCAAAGCUUGAUCAUUUGUGUUAUUUAACCAAAAGGGGUUCUUGUUCUUCUGCAGAUAUAUUAUCACAGGACCUCUUCUAACUGUAAUUCUUGAAAGGAAGAAACAAAUGUAAGAAAGAUGGAGCUUCUUCAUGCUUGGUGUAGAAGCUAAUGGUUCGAGUCUAGGAGCCGCUUUGUUUUUAGUUGGAGAAAUGGAUUCACACUAAAUGUAAA
rnacentral:misc_RNA from 1 species